UACGUAGGGUCCGAGCGUUGUCCGGGAUUACUGGGCGUAAAGAGCUCGUAGGUGGUUUGUCGCGUUGUUCGUGAAAACUCACAGCUUAACUGUGGGCGUGCGGGCGAUACGGGCAGACUUGAGUACUGCAGGGGAGACUGGAAUCCUGGUGUAGCGGUGGAAUGCGCAGAUAUCAGGAGGAACACCGGUGGCGAAGGCGGGGUCUCUGGGCA
rnacentral:rRNA from 1 species